rnacentral:rRNA from 1 species
AGUGAACGCUGGCGGUAGGCCUAACACAUGCAAGUCGAGCGGCAGAACGGUAAUAGCUCGCGGAUUCAGGUGGGGACUGGCGGGUGGUGGAGGGGAACAUCGCUGGUUACUUGUUCGAGGGGAUAGAGAAGGGAGCUAAUCGCUCAUACGUCCUACGAGCUACGGGUGGAGGCCUGGGGACUUCACGCUUUCCGAUAAUCCUAGGGCGGAUUAGCUAGUUGGUGGGGUAAAGGCCUACCAAGGCGACGAGCCGUAGCUGGUCUGAGAGGAUGAUCAGCCACACUGGAACUGAGACACGGUCCAGACUCCUACGGGAGGCAGCAGUGGGGAAUAUUGGACAAUGGGCGAAAGCCUGAUCCAGCCAUGCCGCGUGGGUGAAGAAGGUCUUCGGAUUGUAAAGCACUUUUAUUUGGAAAGAAAAGCAGCAGGUUAAUACCUCGCUGUUCUGACGGUACCCAAAGAAUAAGCACCGGCUAACUUCGUG